rnacentral:lncRNA from 1 species
GGCCGCGAGCCCUGGAGCUCGGCCAGGCGUGGACCCCGGGCCAGCCCCGCGCCUCUGUGGCCCGGGCGCCUCGUGCGUGUCCGCGAGCUCGCGUGCGCGCGUCACCUCGGCCCCCAACAUGACUUGGAGGGCGGCCCUACCCGCGCCGCCCUAGUGCUGCGAAGGGCCUGGGAGCCCAAACCCGGAACCGCCACCUGGGACUGGGAAGACGACAUGGCCAGAAGUCGAUCACUGAUAGCAUGGAACUGCCCCUUUCUGGGGAGGUAGGGUAUACAGAGGGCAGCCACCUCGAAAGAGAAGACAGCGCUCUCCAAGCCGCUUCAAUCCUCAACACAGCCAGCCUAUUGCCAGCCAGUCUUCAUCUGCAGCCCAAGACUCAGGUCUCAGGUCACACCUGCACCUGCCGUGGGCUUCAUCACAGACGCGUCUGCCCACCGUGGAGCCCUCCGGACUUCCUGGCAGCCACUCAUGCCGCUUUGCCCCAGGUUUCCAUGCAGCUGUGCCAUGCCUGGGUUCUGCACCUCACACCCUGGGUGUUUCUCUGAAGCCGACUCUCUCAGCGUCCUCUCCUCAAGCUCCUGCGCUAUCCUUCCCCUUCCCUGCGGGUGGGUGCUCCUCAAGCUUCCUGCCUGCCCAAGCCCCCCACUCCUCCUCUUGGGUGUGCUUCUGGGAGUGCAUCUGUGGCUCCCCAAGUGCGCUUCCAGUCCUGAGCCCUCCGGUGCACCCCACACCUACAUUUCCAAAUACCCGGGGAUCCGUGCAGCAAAGUCCUACCACCACACCACAGUCAUCCUGUCACACCCAAACUCCCUGCUCCAUCCAAUCUGCCUCUCUUCUAGCGACCAUCUUGCUUCCCUGGGUGGCACUCCUUGAUUCCCUGGCGAAUCUGUGUGAUCAGUCAGCUGGCCUGGACCACUGUUGCGGGAAACUGAGGACUAGAGAGACUGAUAGGGAGAAGAGGAGGAUUGUUUAUUUAAGACACUCACCAGCUUAGUGGAUUCAUAUCCAAAGAGCUGAGCAUUGAACAAAGACUGAGCAGGGUUUUUAUAAGCAAAUUUACAGAAGCAAACAAAAGCAGUUAAUCAUAUGGUAGGUCACAUAAUCUAUAGCAUAGCAUAACUUAACUUGUGGCCUUGCAUAGCUUGUAGCUUGUAACUGCAUUGAAAGAAAAAGAAGAACUGGCUAAAUACAGACAUUUGUAAAACAUAGUUAUGCCUAAGAAGCCAGGGAAAGGAGUAGCAGUAAAGGAAUUUGUCUUUUUCCCUUUUUUUUUUCCCUUCAACUUUGCCCUGGAAGAGGGUGGCGGUGGGGGUGGUGUCUGGAGCCCAUUCCUUUGGCCUUGGUUUCUUAAACAGCAUUAUCCUAUAACUGUCUUUGAACUGAGCUUGCUAGGCAGAAGAAAACUUGUCCUUUUCUUUUUAACCCUUGCCUUGCCUGUUACUUUUCUUGAAGUGAAUAAAUGCAUAUUUAUUUU